UCGGGAAUCUUGCACAAUGGGCGAAAGCCUGAUGCAGCAACGCCGUGUGAGCGAGGAAGGUCUUCGGAUCGUAAAGCUCUGUUGUUGGGGACGAAGGGCGAAGGGUUAAUAGCCCCUAGCCUGACGGUACCCUUCGAGGAAGCCCCGGCUAACUACGUGCCAGCAGCCGCGGUAAUACGUAGGGGGCGAGCGUUGUUCGGAAUUACUGGGCGUAAAGCGCGCGUAGGCGGAUUGAUCAGUCAGGGGUGAAAUCCCGGGGCUCAACCCCGGAACUGCCUUUGAUACUGUCAAUCUAGAGAUCGAGAGAGGUGAGUGGAAUUCCGAGUGUAGAGGUGAAAUUCGUAGAUAUUCGGAGGAACACCAGUGGCGAAGGCGGCUCACUGGCUCGAUACUGACGCUGAGGUGCGAAAGUGUGGGGAGCAAACAGGAUUAGAUACCCGGGUAGUCC
rnacentral:rRNA from 1 species